CCUAUGAGAAACGAGGACCUUUGCGCUCUUUCUCUCUCUCUCAAGUCUGAACACUGAGCUCUCUUUUCUGACAAAAUAAAAAACCCACUCCACGUUCUCUCGUUCUCCUCGAAUAGCCUCUCUCUCUCUCUCUCUCUCUCAAGUAUGAACACUGAGCCCUCUUUUCUGACAAAAUAAAAACCCACUCAACCUUCUCUCUUUCUCCUCGAAUAAGCACUCUCUCUCUCUCUCUCUCAAGUCUGAAGUAAAGCUGACGUCUCUUUUUCUCUCAAGUUCCAAACCAUACCCUCUUCCCCUUCUUUCAUUCUCAUCAACCCUAAAAUAGUAGCAGUAGCAUAAUUCUGCAUCCACUUGCAUAUUUCGAUGGCUUGCCUGAGGAAUUGCUUCAGAAACGCCGAUCGCCUCACGGACAGUGAGACUAGAGAAAGAUUUGGACCGAAGAAAUAUACAUUUAGGGAACUAGCAAAUGCAACUGGACAUUUCUCCAACUCAAAUAGCCUUGGCGAGGGUGGUUUUGGCCAAGUCUACAAGGGAAUACUGGAUGGUAAAGAGGUUGCUAUUAAGAAACUUAAAUAUCUUCCGAAUGAACAGCCAAGUGAAGGACUUUUGCAGGAGAUUAAGAUUGUUAGCAGUGUGAUUCACAAAAAUCUUGUUAAGCUGCUCGGAUACUGUAUUGAAGGUGACGAUAUAUUGCUUGUUUUAGAGUAUUUUCCCCAAAAAUCCUUGAACUUUCAUUUACAUGGAAACAAGAUCUUGGAGUGGAAACCAAGAAUGAAAAUCGCAAAAGGCUCAGCUGAAGCGUUGGCAUAUUUACAUGGUGGCUGUAAACCCAAAAUCAUACAUCGUGAUGUUACUUCGAGUAAUAUCCUUCUGGACGACGACCUUGAAGCAAAGGUCACGGACUUUGGACUUGCCUUAUUUUUCCCAGAAACCGGUAACCUCACUCACAUCUCUCGAUCAAAUAAGGGAACUGAUGUUUAUGCAGAUCCAGAUCCACAGAAUUAUCCUUCUCGAAAAGUUUCUGAAAGGUCAGAUGUUUAUUCCUAUGGGGUGGUGCUUUUAGAGUUAAUAACUGGAAGAAAAACUAAGUUCGAAGGUGUUGAUAUUGUUACUUGGGCCAAGCCUCGAAUUGAAUAUGCUUUAAGCAGUGGAGACUAUUCAAAGCUUGUAGAUUCCAAAUUACAAAAGAAUUAUGUCGAAGAGGAACUCAAAACAAUGAUUUCUUGUACUGCAGCUUGUUUGUAUAAACCUUCAAAAUCUCGCCCACUAAUGAAACAGAUAGUUCGAGCCCUUGAAAGCUGUAAGGAUAUAGAGGAUAUAUGGGAUGAGAAGAAUGACAACCAAUUCCUCACAAAUGACCCUAUGCCUAAUGGAACUUACAAUAUUAACAACUUCCAGCAUAUGUUACCAAAGCCUCUUGUCAUUUCAGAAGCUUCUAAUGGCAUUGAGUUUACUCAACAGGAGGGUCUCUAUAAUGCUAGUAAUGGCACUGAGAGGUUUCAAGCUUAUUUUCGAAAAGGUUAUCGGCUGAGAAAGUUUAGUUACCAAUUGCUAACAGAAGCAACUGGAGGUUUUUCCGAGGACAACCGUCUUGAUGAGGGUCCUCUGGGUCAGGUCUAUAUGGGAACCUUAAAUGGUGAAAAGGUGGCAAUUAAGAAAUUUAAUAAUCCUAGAAAGCAUGAAGAAGAAUACAAGCAUAUGAAAGCUAUUGGAAGUGAUUUCCAUCACAGAAAUCUUGUUAACCUUAUUGGAUACUGCGAAGAAAGAGCCAACAGACUGCUUGUUUAUGAAUUUGUUCCUCACUACCGAUCCGUGAGAUGUUUUUUAAAAGGUGAGAGUUCAACUUUAGAAUGGAGUACCAGAUAUAUAAUCUGCUUUGAUGCUCUAACAAUUAAGUGUUGCCUGUUUAAUGAAGAUAAAUUCUGGUGGGGAGGUGAUUGGAUGGACGACUAUUUUCUUGAUGAUGAUUUUCAACCAAAGCUUGCAGAGUAUGGACGUGAAAAGUUUUUUUCAGAUUUCGCUGCUACUCGUAAAUCCACUAGAUGUACGGCUCCUGAAUACACUAGUAGUAGGACGUUCACCCAGAAGACAGAUGUUUAUUCCUAUGGAGUAAUGCUUGUGGAGAUGAUAACUGGAAAAGAACCUGAUGAUGAUAUAGUUCAAUGGGUGGUGCCUCGACUUAAAAGGGCUCAAUCCAAAGGCAAUUAUGAUUUUGUUGAUAAGAGAUUGAAAGAAUAUGAUAAAAUUGAAAUGGAUCGAAUGAUUGCUUGUGCCUUAGCAUGUUUACAUGAUAAUCCACAAGAUCGACCGGAAAUGAAUCAGAUAAUUGAAGUUCUAAAAGGAAAUAUUGAUCCUCAAGAUCUCUGUAAAAGGGAACUACAGCUAAGCUCAGGACAUUGAAGCAUCACACUUCCAUUUUACAUUAGUCAUUUGCUUCUAUCAAGCUUCGGGUUUUGCCUAAAUGAGGUCCAGACAUUUUUACCAUCAAGAAUUUUCAGGCCGAUGCUUGUAAGCCCAAGCUUUUUAUAAAGUUGAGCUGGCCUCAAACGGAAUUGAGCCAAGUCUAGGGCCAAAGAUCCCCACUCGAGAUGCUGAUUCUGGUUUUGUUUUCGGUGCAAUGUUAUGCAUUACCUUUACAGGUGAUGAGAAUGAGUUGUUUAUUUAAGCAACGAGAUGAUAGCAAGGAAGCCAAAUUUAUGGGUUAAAAAGCGUAAGAACUACGCUUAACGAAGACGGGACAACAUGCUUCUUGGUUGAUGCCAUCAUCCUUUGAUGUCCAUCCCGACUAUAAAUCCUCUAACACUUCACAGAUGGAAUCAUAGGAAUAGGAUGAGACCCUUCAAUUGUUUUACUUUUUAAAUACUUGAAUUUUUUCACACUAUUUAAAUUUAUUAUGUAUUUUUCGUAUUGGAUUUAUGUUGGUGUUUUUACUAUUUUAUAUUGUAGAAUUAUGGAUUGAACUUUAUGUAUACAUGCAAGUAUAAAAGGUUUCUUCUUGACUGU